rnacentral:rRNA from 1 species
UACGUAGGGUGCGAGCGUUAAUCGGAAUUACUGGGCGUAAAGCGGGCGCAGACGGUUCGUUAAGCAAGAUGUGAAAUCCCCGGGCUCAACCUGGGAACUGCAUCUGAUACUGGCAAGCUUGAGUCUCGUAGAGGGGGGUAGAAUUCCAGGUGUAGCGGUGAAAUGCGUAGAGAUCUGGAGGAAUACCGGUGGCGAAGGCGGCCCCCUGGACGAAGACUGACGCUCAGGUGCGAAAGCGUGGGGAGCAAACAGG